UAAGGGUAGGGCACUGACGGUCUUUUCCCGGCAACGGGAAAAGCUAAGAGGGAACACGGUUCCACCCCAUACCGGGUCAUUCCGUGGCUGCCCCCGCAACUGUAAGCGGUAAGCCCGCACUGUGAAGCCACUGGACCAUAAAAUUGGUCCGGGAAGGUGGUGCAGGGUGUUUUAAAGCCGCAAGCCAGGAGACCUGCCGUUCAGGAAAAAACGUCU
rnacentral:ncRNA from 1 species